GUGGGGAAUAUUGGACAAUGGGGGGAACCCUGAUCCAGCCAUGCCGCGUGUGUGAAGAAGGCCUUUUGGUUGUAAAGCACUUUAAGCGAGGAGGAGGCUACCGAGAUUAAUACUCUUGGAUAGUGGACGUUACUCGCAGAAUAAGCACCGGCUAACUCUGUGCCAGCAGCCGCGGUAAUACAGAGGGUGCAAGCGUUAAUCGGAUUUCCUGGGCGUAAAGCGCGCGUAGGUGGCCAAUUAAGUCAAAUGUGAAAUCCCCGAGCUUAACUUGGGAAUUGCAUUCGAUACUGGUUGGCUAGAGUAUGGGAGAGGAUGGUAGAAGUCCAGGUGUAGCGGUGAAAUGCGUAGAGAUCUGGAGGAAUACCGAUGGCGAAGGCAGCCAUCUGGCCUAAUACUGACACUGAGGUGCGAAAGCAUGGGGAGCAAACAGGAUUAGAUACCCCGGUAGUCC
rnacentral:rRNA from 1 species